GAUGAACGCUGGCGGCGUGCCUAAUACAUGCAAGUCGAGCGAACAGACGAGGAGCUUGCUCCUCUGACGUUAGCGGCGGACGGGUGAGUAACACGUGGAUAACCUACCUAUAAGACUGGGAUAACUUCGGGAAACCGGAGCUAAUACCGGAUAAUAUAUUGAACCGCAUGGUUCAAUAGUGAAAGACGGUUUUGCUGUCACUUAUAGAUGGAUCCGCGCCGCAUUAGCUAGUUGGUAAGGUAACGGCUUACCAAGGCAACGAUGCGUAGCCGACCUGAGAGGGGGAUCCGCCACAAUGGAACUUAGACAAGGUUCAGACCUCUAAGGGAGGCAGCAGUAGGGAAUCUUCCGCAAUGGGCGAAAGCCUGACGGAGCAACGCCGCGUGAGUGAUGAAGGUCUUCGGAUCGUAAAACUCUGUUAUUAGGGAAGAACAAAUGUGUAAGUAACUAUGCACGUCUUGACGGUACCUAAUCAGAAAGCCACGGCUAACUACGUG
rnacentral:rRNA from 1 species